rnacentral:lncRNA from 1 species
AUGCUCCCCAGGACUGGUUCAGGCCCUUCACAAACACGUUGGUCCUGGGAAGAAGCCUCGCCAACCCUUCCUGUUACUUGCUCAGAAAUAAGCUACCUCAUCACACAUCCUGCCCAGGUUAUGCUUUCUGGGGAUGGAAAGAAAAACCUGAAAUUAGCAUACUCAUUUAAACUAUCUGUCACUAAAAGAAUUGUGCUUUUUUUUUUUUUUUUUAGGGUAACAGCUGUCUUUUUAAUUAACGAGAGUCACAGAUACACGAUGCUCACAAAAUAUUGCACCGCACAUUCUGUUCACCCCUGGCGGGCCGGGUGCACCCUUCCAUCUCGCGAUGGAAUAGACAGCAAGGCUGUCAUCAUUAGUAUCAGCGAUCUCAUUAUUAUCAUCGUGAUGUUAGCCACAGAGAAGAUCUGCCAUCUGCAAGCCGGAAAGUUCCCACAGUCUUGAAGGGCCUCCUCUCCUCCUGACAAGCUCAUAAAAAUAAAGAAAUAAAUAAAUUAAGCCA